UAUGGACAGUCCAAGUCAUUCUGCACAGUAUUGUACAUACACAUUUAUGGAAAACGAUUCCCACAAGAUACUGCAGUGCUUAGUGACCAUGAUCGAACAAGAGAAUGAUAGGAAUAAACAGUGCCAUCCUUGAAAAGGCGUGUUUUCAGAAGGGCCUGCAGUUUCUCCUUUAAACAGAAAUAAAGAAAGUGAAUACCCAGAAAUAAAACAUUUAUUCGACAUCUGGCAUGGGUCCAAAAACCUUGGGAAAAAACUAAUAAAGACUGGACAAGAAAAAUCAAAAAAGCCAAUAUUGCAGUGGACGAGAGAGAUAGUAAACCAUCAUCUGUAGCAACGAAAUACAGAAGAUGAGUUUAUUGGCAUUUGGUUUGGAGUCAUACAUCAUGUUGUGAAUGAGCAUGAAUGGAUUUUGCCAUAUACAUAUAGAGCAGGAGGAAGAAGUUCAUGCCAGCAUGGUCAAAAUUAACAGAGGAAAGGGACAAAAAUUGGUUUGAGGCAGGAUCUCCAGCACAUGUUGCCGUGCGUGAAAUU